GUCUACGGCCAUACCACCCUGAACGCGCCCGAUCUCGUCUGAUCUCGGAAGCUAAGCAGGGUCGGGCCUGGUUAGUACUUGGAUGGGAGACAGUAGAAU
rnacentral:rRNA from 1 species